AAGAAUGGCGGAUAAAGCAAGACUAAAGUGCAUCUGAAAUAAUGAGCUCAAACGGAAAAGAUUAGAGAAGAAUCUCGGGCUUGGCGAAGCCUCUUGUGGAAUGUAAAACAGAGGCCCUUCUUUAUAGAAGAUGUGUGUCCCAGACAGACAACAUUACCAACCAUACCUGUAAUAAGGAGUUUCAAGCACUUAAAGCCUGUAUAAGACAAGCAGCAAAGAAAAUUUAAGUGUAGAGACUUGAAAAGAGAGAACAACUGCACCUGUUGCUGCAAAGUUCAGGAACAGAAGAUGUCACAGGGAACCCACUCACUUUUUGUCUGGGAUAAAAAAUGUUGUAAGGAGACAUUUAGGCUUGUGGAAACUUAAAAAGAAUGUUAUGGAAGUCCCUGUGCUGAGUUUGAGUGUCACGAUUUUUAUAGUUUUUAAAUUUGUUUUGUUUUUUUCAGGCACUUGGAAAUCCAACGCCAUUGUAGAAUUGAUGAAUUAAAAGAAAAUUAUGAGUGUAAAGCUUAUUCUAAAAUGGUGACCAUUUUAUGAUUCCAUUUUUAGUCACCCCAGAUAUGGUAACGUCAUUUCCUGUGUACAUUUCCAGCUUUUAAAAAGUGAGAUUUUAUUUUAAAAC